rnacentral:rRNA from 1 species
AGGCAGCAGUGGGGAAUAUUGGGCAAUGGGCGAGAGCCUGACCCAGCCAUGCCGCGUGCAGGAUGAAGGCUUUCUGAGUCGUAAACUGCUUUUAUCGGGGAAGAAAAAAGGGGAUGCGUCCUCUACUGACGGUACCCGAUGAAUAAGCACCGGCUAACUCCGUGCCAGCAGCCGCGGUAAUACGGAGGGUGCAAGCGUUGUCCGGAUUUAUUGGGUUUAAAGGGUGCGUAGGCGGCUGAUUAAGUCUGGGGUGAAAGCCCGUUGCUCAACAACGGAACUGCCCUGGAAACUGGUUAGCUUGAGUACAGACGAGGGUGGCGGAAUGGAUACUGUAGCGGUGAAAUGCAUAGAUAGUAUCCAGAACCCCGAUUGCGAAGGCAGCUGCCUAGACUGUAACUGACGCUGAGGCACGAAAGCGUGGGGAGCGAACAGGAUUAGAUACCCUGGUAGUCCACGCCGUAAACGAUGGAUACUCGCUGGUGGCGACAGACUGUCACUGGCUUAGCGAAAGCGUUAAGUAUCCCACCUGGGGAGUACGCUCGCAAGAGUGAAACUCAAAAGAAUUGACGGGGGCCCGCACAAGUGGUGGAGCAUGUGGUUUAAUUCGAUGAUACGCGAGGAACCUUACCUAGGCUAGAAUGCGCGUGACCGGUUCAGAGAUGAGCCUUUCCUUCGGGACACAAAGCAAGGUGCUGCAUGGCCGUCGUCAGCUCGUGCCGUGAGAUGUUGGGUUAAGUCCCGCAACGAGCGCAACCC